AGAAUUGCAUGAAGUGGAGUAGAGUAUAAUGCAGCCAAGGAUGACUUGCCGGAGGGUCGUUCAUCAUGCAUAAUAAUAUUGGUGAUGAACAUAAUUCUGGCAAGUUGCCCUUCGGCUACAUUUUGCUCUCUUCUACUCAUGCAAACUCUC
rnacentral:pre_miRNA from 1 species